CACUAAAACAACAGAUUCCAUCUCAGAAGACAGUAACAUCUGUGCUGAAACAGAAGCUACUUCUACUCCUUGGAGCACUGGUGGUACAACUUCUGAAGAGGACAUUGCCACAACAGAUUCUGGAGAUGUCACCAAGUCUACGACAUCUAGAGAAACGGCUCCAAUUAAUUUUGAAAAUGAUGUUGUCACAGAAGCCACAACCACUGGGGUAGAGAACACUGCUGUCAUCUCAAGUCCUGGUACUUCCACAAUCCUUGGGCAUCCUGAGCCUUCAUUCUCAACAGUAACUAGUACUCAGGAGGGCAGCACAGAUCAGAUGGAGACCAGCACUGCCCUUGGUUACAUCCCCAAUAGUUCAGAAGGUGCACAUCAUGGAGAGACAAUUACGUCUGCCUACAGAAAGAUUCCCAUCACCGCGAAUGAACAGGAAACCAACUUUAGUCAAAGAAGCAGCAAGGAAUGUACCACUUCUGAAGCCAUGGCACCAAGAGGGAGAUCCCCAAUGGAAGACGCUAGUAGUCCCUCUUGGAGUGAUAUUUCCAUGACUUCCAUGGAUGUGGAAACUAAGGAUGAUGGCAGUCAUAGGGACACUGAAUCUUUUGACAAACCUGUAACUCCAGAGGCCAGUGCAGCUUCAGCAACCUUUAGAACAUCUGAUAUGGUUUCUACUUCUGACGAUGCCACGAACACCAUUGGUAGUGGCGAUAUCUAUGCCACUGGACAUACCACUGCCCGAACAACUUCUGUAGACACGGAUGGCUCACCUGUUAACAAUUCCAGACGGCCUCCUACUGCCUCAGGUGAUCUUUUCAGAAAUCCUGUCCUUUUGGGAGAUGCACUCACUGUUGCACCCAUUGCCACAGAAGCCACGUCUGUAGUUACUGCCAUGAGCACCCAAGCUUUUUCUGGAGAUAUUAUCACUGUUUUCCAAGAUAAAUCUGCCAAUUCCCCUCGGGACGGCCCUGAACUGACAGAAAUAAUUGCCCCAGAAGAUACUUCAGCACUCAGUGCCACUGUUGGAGACAGCCAAAUGGUAACCCAUAGUGAAGGCCUUACUCCUGAAACAAGAUCCCCUGCUGAGACUCACAUCCUUGGCAACCCUUGUCUUGUAUCUAAUAUUACUCCCAAGGAAACGCCCAACAGCAGCCAUCCUAUGACACCCACAGAUACCCCUGCAACUACAAGUAUUACCUGUACCCUGAAUGAUGCUAUAUCUACUCCUGGUAAUGCCACACCUGUGUUUGAGAUCAUCAGCUCCGAAGGAAUUUUAUCUUCUGCGAAUGACCCUGCAGCCACUUCUUUGGACGUCAGUAUUCAAAAUCUGGCCACAAACCUCAAGAUUUCUACCACUGCCUCUGGUAAUCUUGUUCCUUCUUCUGGAGAAAUGGUCACCACUGUCAUAACACCUGAAGUACAGACUGUUCCUGGAGAGGUUACCUUGGCUAAUAGCCUAGAAGGCAGAGUCACCAACAAUGUCAACAUUAUCAGCAAUCAUGAAACUCUCCCUAAUCUCCCUGACCCCUGCACUGACCACGGAGAUCUGAUUGAUGCCACUUCUCUUUCUUCGGACACCAACACUUCACGCCUUGUUCUAGGAGAGACAGCGCUCUCUAGUGAGACAUUUUCCUCUGGAAAUUCUAUUAACAUGGCAACGCCUCUCGGAGAAGGUAAUGUCCAGCCAGCCAGCUGCAGUCCUGUUGAGGCAUUCAGCACCCUGGCCAGCACCCUCAAUGGUCACAAAGGACACACAGUAAGUCCAAGUCAGAGCAUCAAUUCUGCAAUAGGCGAUACUUCUCAGAAACCUGACACCAAUAUUGCCUUUGGAAAUUCCACCAACCCUAUUCUGUCUGUUGAAGGUGAUGAAUUAUCCGCAGCUGCAGACUCUUCUUCGCCCAGUGCUACCACUGACAAAUCUGCUGUCUGUACCGGUUCCCCUGAACACAUCCCAAGCACUUUGGAAGAAGCUGACUCACCUGGAGACAGUAUGGCUGAACUCAGUGGUGUCAAACACAUGUUCAUCACUACCACACUCUCUGGAGCUGUUAUUGUCCCUGGAGAAAACACCACUGGCAUUCCUGCUCUAAACAUGACUACUGGUCUUGGAGAUAUUCAUGCCAGCACAGUGGCUGCCUCUGGAGAUGUCAGAGACACUAACUCAGUUUUUGAAGAUACUAGUAGCAUCCAAUAUGAAGGUACUGCUCCGAUGCACAGGAAAGUCUGCGAAGAGGCACAGACCUCUGAAAGCACAUACCUGCCUGCAGUUCAUUUGACCCCCAGAGGCAGCUUUGGCACCAAUGUAGACAAAGCUGUUGUUAACACAGAAAACGCUCCUGCUGAUUUAAUUAAUCAUGUGAAUGACGCCAUCACUGUCAAUACUGGAAACUUCACCCCUUCCUAUGGAGAUGUUGUUUCUGUUUCUGAAGAUUUCACUAUCACUGGAGGGACACUUAACUCUAGCAAGCUCACUAGAUCUAUUACUGAAGAUAGUAGACAAGAGAAGGAGAUUUCUGCCUCAGAAGAAACCAUUUCUCUUGCAGAGAUGCCUAUAACAGGUAUGAAUUCUAUGACUGAAAUGAACCAUACUGAUACAGAAGUUGUCCAUACCAUUCCAGAGCCCUCAGUAUUUCAAGAAGAUGCUACAUUGAUCCCGACUGGUGUUUCUGUUCUAGCUGUCACUUUAUCUGGGGACACUGCCAUUUCCCACAGCGAGAGGACAUCUCUAGGGAAGCCGACAGAUCUAAGUUUGAGUAGUACUAUUUCUUCCACGGACUCUAUCCCUGUCACAUUGCCUCAUUCAAGAAAGAUUGUCUCUGCUGCCUCUCAUGUAAUGUCUGAUGCCUCCUCAGAAGACACCUUGAAAGAGACCUCCAUUCUUGAAGUUGCUAGUGCUUGUUCUUCUGCAGCCACUUCUCCUCUUGAAGAGACUCCUGAUGUCACCACUGUUCCAGAAGAUACCAACCUUGGGAUAUCCACAGAUGACACUGAAGAGGCUCCCUCAUCUAAGACUAACAUUGUCUUGAGAAAAUAUCCCUCCUCAGAAGCCACAAAGGUUCUUGAAGAAGUUACUUUUUCUGGAAGCAUCACUGAAACUAGAGAACCCUUUGCCCCCACAGAAUUUAUAGAGACCUCUGUACCACAGUUUGCCAGUGACUCUUCAUUAAUUGUCACUACUGACAGUACAAUGUCCUUAGAAGGUGACACCUUUACAUCUUGCAGUGGUAGUAAAUCUGAUGAAACACAUACUUCUGGGACGGUCAUCACUACUGAUGUCCAGGGUAAGACACUAGGCCCGGGAGCUAGUACUGCCCCAACUGGGGAUCCCAACUUUGAAGACAGUCUUAUUGUUGCCUCUGAGCAUAGAAACAUCAUUCAAGAUGCCAAUGAAUACCUGAUCCUCUCUGAAAAUACUAACAUAUAUCUCAACAGUACUGAAGAUGCCACAUAUGCACCUGAAAUUUCAAGCACCGCUGAUCCAGAAGAUGUCUCUGGAAGCAGAAACAUUGUCCCCGAGGAUGCUAUCAGUACCACUCUUGACAAGCUCAAUGAUCCCCUUGCUGAAGAGAUCUCUAGUACCACAGAGAGAGCUCUUGCUACUGAUAGUGGAGAGGGACUCACUGCCAAACACAAAGAAACUAAUAAAAAGAGCCAGGCUAGUGUUCUUAGCGAGACUAAAAUUGUGUCAGGAGAAGCUUAUAUCAACAUGCCAGUAGAAGAAACAACAACUGUCACAUUAAGGGAGACACUUGAUAUGGACGUAGAGACUCCCAUGUUGUCAGGAGAGAUUUCUGAGGUACCCUCAGUUGACACUAACUUUGGAAAGACUGUUGAACCCACCUCUAUAAGUUCACCUGUGGCUCCACGUGAGAUUGCAGCCAUUAGUCCCAAAAAGACACCUGUCACUGCCACAUUUGAAGACAACAUUGACAACACUAAGGAUGCUUGUGAACAUACCUUUACUGUUCCUGAAGAGUUGUUGAUUGAGGAUCCAAGAAAAAUAGAUAUUACACAAUCUGGAAAUAUCAGUGAAAGCUCCAUUGGUACAGAUGAGAUACCCACAGUCCUUCACAGACGACCGUCAACCACAUUUCCAAGCCAGGUUCCUCUCAUGUCUGCCUCUGGAGCAGCUGUCCUUCCUAGUGAGGUUUGUCUAAAAGCUUCAGCCAUCCCUGAAGAGUCCUUUCCUGAUGUACCUAAAGAUAAUGUUCUAACUGCUCAAAACUCUGUAAAGACUCCUGCAACAGCUCCAAAAGAGGCUGCUUUCUCUUUUCAAAGAAAAUGUAGUACCAUCAGGCAAGGUAAGCUCAAUUCUAUCCAUCCAUCCGUCUGAUUUCUUGAUUGCUUCAUCACUUAAAUUAUCUAGAGGCAGAACUACUUAAGUUCCCCCCUGGUAACCUAGAGACAUCAGCAUUGCAGAGAAACUUCCCCUGACUCUCCUAUACAAUCCUUCCAGGUUUGGUGAAGG
ensembl:lncRNA